GACGAACGCUGGCGGCGUGCUUAACACAUGCAAGUCGAACGAAGAGCGAUGGAAGCUUGCUUCUAUCAAUCUUAGAGGCGAACGGGUGAGUAACGCGUAAUCAACCUGCCCUUCAGAGGGGGACAACAGUUGGAAACGACUGCUAAUACCGCAUACGAUCUAAUCUCGGCAUCGAGGAUAGAUGAAAGGUGGCCUCUACAUGUAAGCUAUCACUGAAGGAGGGGAUUGCGUCUGAUUAGCUAGUUGGAGGGGUAACGGCCCACCAAGGCGAUGAUCAGUAGCCGGUCUGAGAGGAUGAACGGCCACAUUGGGACUGAGACACGGCCCAGACUCCUACGGGAGGCAGCAGUGGGGAAUCUUCCGCAAUGGACGAAAGUCUGACGGAGCAACGCCGCGUGAGUGAUGACGGCCUUCGGGUUGUAAAGCUCUGUUAAUCGGGACGAAAGGCCUUCUUGCGAAUAGUGAGAAGGAUUGACGGUACCGGAAUAGAAAGCCACGGCUAACUACGUG
rnacentral:rRNA from 1 species